CGCUGUAGAGUUUCCUGCAUGUAAAUGGCUGGUAUUAUGGCGUCGUCCACUGCAAGGGCAUUUCAAACAGUAAAGCCACAUAUUCCACUCAUAAAGUUUCGUGCUGGAAAACAGACAACAGCUAACCCUGCAAUACUGACC